rnacentral:rRNA from 1 species
AGUGAACGCUGGCGGUAGGCCUAACACAUGCAAGUCGAACGGCAGCACAGUAAGAGCUUGCUCUUACGGGUGGCGAGUGGCGGACGGGUGAGGAAUACAUCGGAAUCUACUUUUUCGUGGGGGAUAACGUAGGGAAACUUACGCUAAUACCGCAUACGACCUACGGGUGAAAGCAGGGGAUCUUCGGACCUUGCGCGACUGAAUGAGCCGAUGUCGGAUUAGCUAGUUGGCAGGGUAAAGGCCCACCAAGGCGACGAUCCGUAGCUGGUCUGAGAGGAUGAUCAGCCACACUGGAACUGAGACACGGUCCAGACUCCUACGGGAGGCAGCAGUGGGGAAUAUUGGGCAAUGGGCGCAAGCCUGACCCAGCAAUACCGCGUGGGUGAAGAAGGCCUUCGGGUUGUAAAGCCCUUUUGUUGGGAAAGAAAAGCAGCAGGUUAAUACCCCGCUGUUCUGACGGUACCCAAAGAAUAAGCACCGGCUAACUUCGUG